CGGCGAUGUCCGAAUGGGGAAACCCAGUGCAAUUCGUUGCACUAUCGUUAACUGAAUACAUAGGUUAACGAGGCGAACCGGGGGAACUGAAACAUCUAAGUACCCCGAGGAAAAGAAAUCAACCGAGAUUCCCCCAGUAGCGGCGAGCGAACGGGGAGCAGCCCAGAGUCUGAAUCAGCUUGUGUGUUAGUGGAACGGUCUGGAAAGUCCGACGGUACAGGGUGAUAGUCCCGUACACCAAAAUGCACAGGCUGUGAACUCGAAGAGUAGGGCGGGACACGUGGUAUCCUGUCUGAAUAUGGGGGGACCAUCCUCCAAGGCUAAAUACUCCUGACUGACCGAUAGUGAACCAGUACCGUGAGGGAAAGGCGAAAAGAACCCCGGCGAGGGGAGUGAAAAAGAACCUGAAACCGUGUACGUACAAGCAGUGGGAGCACCUUCGGGUGUGACUGCGUACCUUUUGUAUAAUGGGUCAGCGACUUAUAUUCUGUAGCAAGGUUAACCGUAUAGGGGAGCCGCAGGGAAACCGAGUCUUAACUGGGCGUUAAGUUGCAGGGUAUAGACCCGAAACCCGGUGAUCUAGCCAUGGGCAGGUUGAAGGUUGGGUAACACUAACUGGAGGACCGAACCGACUAAUGUUGAAAAAUUAGCGGAUGACUUGUGGCUGGGGGUGAAAGGCCAAUCAAACCGGGAGAUAGCUGGUUCUCCCCGAAAGCUAUUUAGGUAGCGCCUCGUGAACUCAUCUUCGGGGGUAGAGCACUGUUUCGGCUAGGGGGUCAUCCCGACUUACCAACCCGAUGCAAACUACGAAUACCGAAGAAUGUUAUCACGGGAGACACACGGCGGGUGCUAACGUCCGUCGUGAAGAGGGAAACAACCCAGACCGCCAGCUAAGGUCCCAAAGUCAUGGUUAAGUGGGAAACGAUGUGGGAAGGCACAGACAGCCAGGAUGUUGGCUUAGAAGCAGCCAUCAUUUAAAGAAAGCGUAAUAGCUCACUGGUCGAGUCGGCCUGCGCGGAAGAUGUAACGGGGCUAAACCAUGCACCGAAGCUGCGGCAGCGACACUAUGUGUUGUUGGGUAGGGGAGCGUUCUGUAAGCCUGCGAAGGUGUGCUGUGAGGCAUGCUGGAGGUAUCAGAAGUGCGAAUGCUGACAUAAGUAACGAUAAAGCGGGUGAAAAGCCCGCUCGCCGGAAGACCAAGGGUUCCUGUCCAACGUUAAUCGGGGCAGGGUGAGUCGACCCCUAAGGCGAGGCCGAAAGGCGUAGUCGAUGGGAAACAGGUUAAUAUUCCUGUACUUGGUGUUACUGCGAAGGGGGGACGGAGAAGGCUAUGUUAGCCGGGCGACGGUUGUCCCGGUUUAAGCAUGUAGGCUGGUUGUCCAGGCAAAUCCGGAUAAUCAAGGCUGAGGUGUGAUGACGAGGCACUACGGUGCUGAAGUAACAAAUGCCCUGCUUCCAGGAAAAGCCUCUAAGCAUCAGGUAACAUCAAAUCGUACCCCAAACCGACACAGGUGGUCAGGUAGAGAAUACCAAGGCGCUUGAGAGAACUCGGGUGAAGGAACUAGGCAAAAUGGUGCCGUAACUUCGGGAGAAGGCACGCUGGUGUGUAGGUGAAGCCCCUGCGGGUGGAGCUGAGACCAGUCGAAGAUACCAGCUGGCUGCAACUGUUUAUUAAAAACACAGCACUGUGCAAACACGAAAGUGGACGUAUACGGUGUGACGCCUGCCCGGUGCCGGAAGGUUAAUUGAUGGGGUUAUCCGUAAGGAGAAGCUCUUGAUCGAAGCCCCGGUAAACGGCGGCCGUAACUAUAACGGUCCUAAGGUAGCGAAAUUCCUUGUCGGGUAAGUUCCGACCUGCACGAAUGGCGUAAUGAUGGCCAGGCUGUCUCCACCCGAGACUCAGUGAAAUUGAACUCGCUGUGAAGAUGCAGUGUACCCGCGGCAAGACGGAAAGACCCCGUGAACCUUUACUAUAGCUUGACACUGAACAUUGAGCCUUGAUGUGUAGGAUAGGUGGGAGGCUUUGAAGCGUGGACGCCAGUCUGCGUGGAGCCAACCUUGAAAUACCACCCUUUAAUGUUUGAUGUUCUAACGUUGGCCCCUGACCGGGGUUGCGGACAGUGUCUGGUGGGUAGUUUGACUGGGGCGGUCUCCUCCCAAAGCGUAACGGAGGAGCACGAAGGUUAGCUAAUCCUGGUCGGACAUCAGGAGGUUAGUGCAAUGGCAUAAGCUAGCUUGACUGCGAGCGUGACGGCGCGAGCAGGUGCGAAAGCAGGUCAUAGUGAUCCGGUGGUUCUGAAUGGAAGGGCCAUCGCUCAACGGAUAAAAGGUACUCCGGGGAUAACAGGCUGAUACCGCCCAAGAGUUCAUAUCGACGGCGGUGUUUGGCACCUCGAUGUCGGCUCAUCACAUCCUGGGGCUGAAGUAGGUCCCAAGGGUAUGGCUGUUCGCCAUUUAAAGUGGUACGCGAGCUGGGUUUAGAACGUCGUGAGACAGUUCGGUCCCUAUCUGCCGUGGGCGCUGGAGAAUUGAGGGGGGCUGCUCCUAGUACGAGAGGACCGGAGUGGACGCAUCACUGGUGUUCGGGUUGUCAUGCCAAUGGCACUGCCCGGUAGCUAAAUGCGGAAGAGAUAAGUGCUGAAAGCAUCUAAGCACGAAACUUGCCCCGAGAUGAGUUCUCCCUGAGACUUUAAGUCUCCUGAAGGAACGUUGAAGACGACGACGUUGAUAGGCCGGGUGUGUAAGCGCAGCGAUGCGUUGAGCUAACCGGUACUAAUGAACCGUGAGGCUUAACCUU
rnacentral:rRNA from 1 species